GCGAGCCCAGAGAGGUUCAGGUGAACAGCAGCUGUGUCCAGUGUCACUCUGAGUGUCUGCUGCAGACCGGGACCCCGACCUGCCACGGACCAGGUCCAGACCAGUGUUCCCAGUGCGCCCACUUUAAAGACGGCCCCCACUGCGUCCCCGUCUGUCCCCACAGCGUCCCGGGAGACGGAGACACGCUGAUCUGGAAAUACCCCGACGGGACGGGCCAGUGCCAGACCUGCCACCAGGACUGCAUCGACGGGUGUUCUGGACCCAGGCUGUCUGGAUGCAACAGGUAAAAACUACAACUUUACCACCGAAGUUUAC